rnacentral:rRNA from 1 species
AGUGGGGAAUCUUAGACAAUGGGCGCAAGCCUGAUCUAGCCAUGCCGCGUGAGUGAUGAAGGCCUUAGGGUCGUAAAGCUCUUUCGCCAGGGAUGAUAAUGACAGUACCUGGUAAAGAAACCCCGGCUAACUCCGUGCCAGCAGCCGCGGUAAUACGGAGGGGGUUAGCGUUGUUCGGAAUUACUGGGCGUAAAGCGCGCGUAGGCGGACUAGUCAGUCAGAGGUGAAAUCCCAGGGCUCAACCCUGGAACUGCCUUUGAUACUGCUAGUCUUGAGUUCGAGAGAGGUGAGUGGAAUUCCGAGUGUAGAGGUGAAAUUCGUAGAUAUUCGGAGGAACACCAGUGGCGAAGGCGGCUCACUGGCUCGAUACUGACGCUGAGGUGCGAAAGCGUGGGGAGCAAA